GUGCUUGCUUUAGCAGCACAUAUACUAAAAUUGGAAAGAUACAGAGAUGAUUAGCAUGGCCCCCAUGCAAGGAUGACAUGCAAAUUUGUGAAGCGUUCUCUAUUUUU
ensembl:snRNA U6 U6 spliceosomal RNA